rnacentral:lncRNA from 1 species
UUUCAGGAUGAAGAUCUUCUACCAAGUAAAUAUUUUGAAAUAGACUUUCCAAUGAUCGUCACGAGAAAGCUGCAUAGCAUCAAAUUGAAACCUCUUCUUUCAAAACCCAUUUUAGACUUACAUUCAGAGGACACACUUCAAAUGGACGGGCACACAUUGGAUUCAACGAGAUAUGCCAUCAUUGGAGCUGAUCUCCGAGAUAUUCCUGAACUGGAAGAGAAACUAAAGAAAUGUAACAUGAAUACACAGUGAGACUUUUUUAUUAGCCUCUUACAUUUGUGAUUUCCUGCUAAUAUGAAAUAAGGCUGGUUGGAAGUACAGGGUGAUACUCGUACCAUUUUGUUUCCCUGUAAUCUUUAUCAUUGUCAUUGCUAUUAAGCUUAGUUUUCUGAACUUUUUUAGAAGCAAGCUUCCUUGAGUCUGCUUUCCUAUGAGAAUCACCUGUGUUGCUUUUGUAAAAUAUGCCCUAAUAUUAAUACCUAAUGUUAUAGAGUUGGAGGGAAGAUGGUUAUAUGCACAGAAACAUAUAAUUGUGACAUUAAAGAAAGGAUUGGCAUCCUGAAUACAUAAAA